rnacentral:rRNA from 1 species
GAGGAUCAUUACCGAGUGAGGGCCCUCUGGGUCCAACCUCCCACCCGUGUCUAUCGUACCUUGUUGCUUCGGCGGGCCCGCCGUUUCGACGGCCGCCGGGGAGGCCUUGCGCCCCCGGGCCCGCGCCCGCCGAAGACCCCAACAUGAACGCUGUUCUGAAAGUAUGCAGUCUGAGUUGAUUAUCGUAAUCAGUUAAAACUUUCAACAACGGAUCUCUUGGUUCCGGCAUCGAUGAAGAACGCAGCGAAAUGCGAUAAGUAAUGUGAAUUGCAGAAUUCAGUGAAUCAUCGAGUCUUUGAACGCACAUUGCGCCCCCUGGUAUUCCGGGGGGCAUGCCUGUCCGAGCGUCAUUGCUGCCCUCAAGCACGGCUUGUGUGUUGGGCCCCCGUCCCCCUCUCCCGGGGGACGGGCCCGAAAGGCAGCGGCGGCACCGCGUCCGGUCCUCGAGCGUAUGGGGCUUUGUCACCUGCUCUGUAGGCCCGGCCGGCGCCAGCCGACACCCAACUUUAUUUUUCUAAGGUUGACCUCGGAUCAGGUAGGGAUACCCGCUGAACUUAAGCAUAUCAAUAAGCGGAGGAA